UAUAACGUCAAAUUUACUAGGUGCGAACAC
rnacentral:rRNA from 1 species